UUGGAGGGCAAGUCUGGUGCCAGCAGCCGCGGUAAUUCCAGCUCCAAUAGCGUAUAUUAAAGUUGUUGCAGUUAAAAAGCUCGUAGUUGAACUUCGGGGUUUACCCAUUGGUCAGGCUUAAUUGUCUGUACUGGUGAGAUGAAUCUCUACCUUCUGAGGAACUUUCAUGCCAUUUAUUUGGUGUGAUGGGAAAUCAGGACUGUUACUUUGAAAAAAUUAGAGUGUUUAAAGCAGGCUAACGUCUGAAUACAUUAGCAUGGAAUAAUAAAAUAGGACGGUGGUCCUGUUUUGCUGGUUUCUGAAUCACCGUAAUGAUUAAUAGGGAUAGUUGGGGGCAUUAGUAUUCAAUUGUCAGAGGUGAAAUUCUUGGAUUUAUUGAAGACUAACUUCUGCGAAAGCAUUUGCCAAGGAUGUUUUCAUUAAUCAAGAACGAAAGUUAGGGGAUCGAAGACGAUCAGAUACCGUCGUAGUCUUAACCAUAAACUAUGCCGACUAGGGAUCGGACGAUGUUAAAUUUUAUUGACUCGUUCGGCGCCUUACGGGAAAC
rnacentral:rRNA from 1 species